AUUGAACGCUGGCGGCAGGCCUAACACAUGCAAGUCGAGCGGAGCGGCGGACGGGUGAGUAAUACCUAGGAAUCUGCCUGGUAGUGGGGGAUAACGUCCGGAAACGGGCGCUAAUACCGCAUACUAUCAGAUGAGCCUAGGCUGGAUUAGCUAGUUGGUGGGGUAAAGGACUACCAAGGCGACGAUCCGGAACUGGACUGAGAGGGUGAUCAGUCACACUGGAACUGAGACACGGUCCAGAAGCCGACGGGAGGAAGCAGUAGGGAAUAUAGGACAAUGGGCGAAAGCCUGAUCCAGCCAUGCCGCGUGUGUGAGGAAGGUCUUCGGAUUGUAAAGCACUUUAAGUUGGGAGGCGUUACCAACAGAAAAAGCACCGGCUAACUUCGGGCCAGCAGCCGCGGUAAUAC
rnacentral:rRNA from 1 species